UCGAGAGAGGGGAGAUGGGGAGCUGCUUCCUUUUUUGUUUCCUUCGGUUUUUCCGUCCGCCCCCGCCCCCACUUCCAGUCACAGCCGCUACUUCUCCAUUCAGGCUGGGACUGCCAGGUGGAGCCCUGCGGUUUACUGCUCAGGAGGAGCCCGGCCAGGACAUCAGCUGGGGACUUACGCAGGGACCCAUUCAGAGCAGCGGACCCUCACGGAGACUACUACAAAGGGACUAACACAGGCACGAACGCAGGCAACCCCAUUCGGGAACACAUACGUAAUCCAACACACUAGCUCUGGCACACACACUGGAAUGCGCGCAAAACCACACAGACACAGAACACACGCGGUUACCAAACCUCAUUCUCAGAGGCCACACUGAUCCAACCUCAAGCAGAGUCUGAUACAGCAUCGGUCUUUGUCUCUGGGUCUCUCCCUUACUCGCGCUCACACACCCGUACCCCAAUCAACACAAACAGCCCAAGCUUUCACAGCCUGGAGGCGGCCGUCGGAGCAGGGCCCCAGCGCACCGCGAGCCUCUGCUUCCUCCGCCUUGCAGCGCCGCGAGCCCUUCUUUCCUCCGCGCCUGGCCCCGUCUGCGCCCCUCUCGGCGUGGGCAUUCGCAGACCCGCUAGGAGGCUGACGAGAGGUGUCCUCAUAGAGUCCUGCCUUCUUCCAGACCCCCAAACGAAAAGAAAGAGAAAAGCCAACCUUUCGCCUCCAUUCUGCACGCAUUUGGAGAGCGGCUGGUGGCGAGCGAUCCGCACAAUCGCUUCCCUCGCGGCGUCCCUGGACGGGCGGAGAGAACCCGGGUGACUGAGCCUGAGGCUGAGCUUCCUUGGGAGCGAUCCAUGCCAGCCACUUCUACCUUCAAGGGGGACUCGCGGCCGGGUUUACGCGCGAAGGAUGGGUGCCAGGGAAACUGACUUAUAGACGACCCGCUCCGCGAGAGACUGACAACUCAGUCCUGCGGGCUUUCGGGGCGCCCAGACCAGUCCUUAGCCAGAGGAUCUGGGGCUGCACAGCUCCCGGACCCUGGAGGGGGUGGUCCGGGGGUGGGAGACUGCGAGCAUCAGCCCACGCCGGCCCCCUCCCACCCUGCGGCGGCGAGGUGGGAAGGGCCAGGAUGCGAGCUUAGCACCUCCCCUAGAAAUGCAGCACUUCGCCCCCCCACCUCCCCUGCCCUCGGCGCUCCCUCUUUCACGCGCUCCCUCCCGCCUCCUUCCCAAGGGCGCCCUUCUUCUGCCCCCAGCUCACGUCUGAAUCCCUCGGCGCCCCCUUUCUCUUCUCCUAGCCCCUUCCUCACGUCCCCUGCCUCCGGGUAUUUCCUCUCUCCAAUCCCCCACCCCCGCACCGCCUGAUUCCGAGGG
rnacentral:lncRNA from 10 species